rnacentral:rRNA from 2 species
AAUCCAUAGGUUAAUGAGGCGAACCGGGGGAACUGAAACAUCUAAGUACCCCGAGGAAAAGAAAUCAACCGAGAUUCCCCCAGUAGCGGCGAGCGAACGGGGAGGAGCCCAGAGCCUGAAUCAGCAUGUGUGUUAGUGGAAGCGUCUGGAAAGGCGCGCGAUACAGGGUGACAGCCCCGUACACAAAAGCGCAUGUGCUGUGAGCUCGAUGAGUAGGGCGGGACACGUGGUAUCCUGUCUGAAUAUGGGGGGACCAUCCUCCAAGGCUAAAUACUCCUGACUGACCGAUAGUGAACCAGUACCGUGAGGGAAAGGCGAAAAGAACCCCGGCGAGGGGAGUGAAAAAGAACCUGAAACCGUGUACGUACAAGCAGUGGGAGCCCCACCACCAAAGCAUUUGCUGUACCGCGUUGACGGAGCGAAGCGACGUCAAACCGAUAAAACAGCAGUG